rnacentral:rRNA from 1 species
UACGGAGGGUGCAAGCGUUAUCCGGAUUCACUGGGUUUAACGGGUGCGUAGGAGGGCAGGUAAGUCAGUGGUGAAAUCUCCGAGCUUAACUUGGAAACUGCCGUUGAUACUAUCUGUCUUGAAUAUUGUGGAGGUGAGCGGAAUAUGUCAUGUAGCGGUGAAAUGCUUAGAUAUGACAUAGAACACCAAUUGCGAAGGCAGCUCGCUACACAUAUAUUGACUCUGAGGCACGAAAGCGUGGGGAUCAAACAGG